rnacentral:rRNA from 1 species
CAACGCCACGUGUGUGAUGAAGGUCUUCGGAUUGUAAAGCACUUUCGACCGGGACGAAAACCCUGAGGCUAACAUCCUCAGGCUUGACGGUACCGGGAGAAGAAGCACCGGCUAACUCUGUGCCAGCAGCCGCGGUAAUACAGAGGGUGCAAGCGUUGUUCGGAAUUAUUGGGCGUAAAGCGCGUGUAGGCGGCUUUGCAAGUCGGGUGUGAAAGCCCUCAGCUCAACUGAGGAAGUGCGCCCGAAACUGCAGAGCUUGAGUGCCGGAGAGGGUGGCGGAAUUCCCCAAGUAGAGGUGAAAUUCGUAGAUAUGGGGAGGAACACCGGUGGCGAAGGCGGCCACCUGGACGGUAACUGACGCUGAGACGCGAAAGCGUGGGGAGCAAACAGGAUUAGAUACACUGGUAGUCCACGCCGUAAACGAUGAGAACUAGGUGUCGUGGGUGUUGACCCCCGCGGUGCCGUAGCUAACGCAUUAAGUUCUCCGCCUGGGAAGUACGGUCGCAAGACUA